UACAGAGGGUGCGAGCGUUAAUCGGAAUCACUGGGCGUAAAGCGCGCGUAGGCGGUUCGUUAAGUGGGAUGUGAAAUCCCCGGGCUUAACCUGGGAAUUGCAUUUCAAACUGGCCGACUAGAGUACGGUAGAGGGAGGUAGAAUUUCCUGUGUAGCGGUGAAAUGCGUAGAUAUAGGAAGGAAUACCAGUGGCGAAGGCGGCCUCCUGGAUCGAUACUGACGCUGAGGCGCGAAAGCGUGGGGAGCAAACAGG
rnacentral:rRNA from 1 species